rnacentral:tRNA from 1 species
GCGCCCGUAGCUCAGCAGGAUAGAGCAACGGCCUUCUAAGCCGUGGGUCAGGGGUUCGAAUCCCUUCGGGCGCGCCA